rnacentral:rRNA from 1 species
AUUGAACGCUGGCGGCAGGCUUAACACAUGCAAGUCGAGCGGAGCGAGGGUGCUUGCACCUUAGCUUAGCGGCGGACGGGCGCGUAAUGCUUAGGAAUCUGCCUAUUAGUGGGGGACAACAUUCCGAAAGGGAUGCUAAUACCGCAUACGCCCUACGGGGGAAAGCAGGGGAUCUCCUGACCUUGGGCUAAUAGAUGAGCCUAAGUCGGAUUAGCUAGUUGGUGGGGUAAAGGCCGACCAAGGCGACGAUCUGUAGCGGGUCUGAGAGGAUGCUCCGCCACACUGGGACUGGGAAACGGCCCAGACUCCAACGGGAGGCAGCAGUGGGGAAUAUUGGACAAGGGGCGGAAGCCUGAUCCACCCAUGCCGCGUGUGGGAAGAAGGCCUUUUGGUUGGAAAGCACUUUAAGCGAGGAGGAGGCUACUCUAGUUAAUACCUAGGGAUAGUGGACGUUACUCGCAGAAUAAGCACCGGCUAACGCUGUGCCAGCAGCCGCCGUAA